rnacentral:sRNA from 1 species
GGUCGGACUUCAAGUCGUCGCAAUCAAGGCUCCAGGAUUCGGAGAUAACCGCAAGAACACGCUCAAGGAUAUGGGAAUUGCGACGGGAGCAACGAUCUUUGGAGAUGACUCGAAUCUCAUUAAGAUCGAGGAUAUCACAGCCAACGAUCUCGGAGAAGUCGAUGAGGUCACCAUCACCAAGGACGAUACUCUUCUUCUUCGCGGGCGUGGAGAUCAAACAGAGAUCGAGAAGCGAAUCGAGCACAUCACCGAUGAAAUUGAGCAAUCGACGAGCGAUUACGAGAAGGAGAAGCUUAAUGAGCGUCUCGCCAAGUUGAGCAAGGGAGUCGCUGUGCUCAAGAUUGGAGGAGGAUCUGAAGUUGAAGUUGGAGAGAAGAAGGUGUGCGGAAUUUGGCUGAAAUUGGAGAAAAAUUGAAGAAAAACUGGCUAUUUUCCGUGGGAAAAUGAUCAAAAUCCGUUCAUUUUUGAGCUUUUUUUAGCAGAAAAUUGGUUUAAAAAAACCUCAAUUUCUACCAGAUUUUUGUCGAGAAACCUGAUUUUAAAACCUUUUUUGUGCCGUUUGUGCCAUUGGAAACUCGUUAAAACUCAGUUUUUUAUUUUUAUUUGCAACAAAACGCAAGAUUCUCUUUGUGCUCCUUUCGAGUAAAAUUUAUGGUAAAUUCCCCCAUUUUUGUGAAAGAAACCCACUAAAUCUGCAGAUUUUUCUUGAAAAUUUAAAUUUUUAUUUAAACAAUCUGACUUUUUCUUACAAAUUUGAAUUUUUUUAGCCAAAAAUCUGAAUUUUUCAGCCAAAAAUUUGAAUUUUUCUUGAAAAUUUGAUUUUUUCAGCCAAAAAUUUGGAUUUUUCUUGAAAGUUAGAAUUUUUUAGUCGAUCAUUUUCAGCUUGAUUUUGCCGUGUAAACUACAGAUUUCUGCCGGAAAACAUUAAAAUUUGCGAUUUUAGCAAUUUCCAGCCGAUUUUUGGUUCGAAAAAAUGGCUAUUUUGCCAAUUUGAAUUUUUCAGACAAAAUUUUGCAUUUUCCUUAAAAAUUUGAUAUUUUCAGCCAAAAAAUUGGAUUUUCCCUGAAAAUUUGAUAUUUUCAGCCAAAAAUAUGGAUGUUUCUUAAAAUUCGAACUUUCUAGCCGAAAUUUUUCGCAAUUGCCACUUAAAAUUUUGUUGUUAGAAGCCGAAAAUAACUGUUUUUUUCGCAAUUUCAACUGAAAAAAUUGAUAAAAAAACGCGGAAAAAACUGUUAAAUUGAUUUUUCCCGCUGAGCAUGCUCAAAAAUAGCAGAAAUUUUGGUUUUCCUGCGCGGAAAAAUCUUGAUUUCCACCAGAUUUUAUCGGUUUUCUGCAAUUUUUUGUAUGAUUUUUCAUCAAUUUUUUUUUCAUUACAGGACCGUGUCACCGAUGCUCUGUGUGCCACGCGUGCCGCUGUCGAAGAAGGAAUCGUUCCAGGAGGAGGUGUUGCUCUUCUCAGAUCUCUGACAGCACUCAAAAACUACAAAGCAGCCAACGAGGAUCAACAGAUCGGUGUGAAUAUCGUCAAGAAGGCUCUCACUCAGCCAAUCGCCACAAUCGUCAAAAAUGCCGGUCUUGAGCCAUCGUCGAUUAUUGAUGAAGUCACCGGAAACAGCAAUACAUCAUAUGGUUAUGAUGCGCUCAACGGAAAGUUCGUUGACAUGUUCGAGGCUGGAAUUAUCGAUCCAACUAAG